CCGGAGGCAGCGCAGGUGACCGCACUCCAAGAAGGCCGAUUGGCCGCGUCUCUACCGAGAGGCGUGGUCCCGGACGGAAGUCAGGCCACGUGACCCGGAAGCGGCUUUUGCCAAGGCUUGUGCGCCUGCGCGCUCCUGCGCGUACCUUCGGAACUCGGGCGGGCGGCUACCUCACCUAUCCAGUGGUGGGAGCGCAGGGUUCCGAGGUGCCCUUUGUCGACCCCGCUGUGCGGGGCAGGGAAGGUCAGGAUCGCCAAGAGCCAAGUUCGAGCUCCGAUAACUCUCCGUGCCCAAAGAGGGCGGGGCGGGGAGGCGUCACUGCCGGUGGUGAUGGUGAGGAGAGUGAGGGAGUGCUGCACCUCUGGGGAAAACAAGUCAGCUCUGUCGAGGAGCUCGUGCACGCGUUCAGAGGGCCUUUUGCAAUCAUUCUGCCUCCAAACUGCCUGGAAUCCGGCACGUCCUUCCCAUUGCACUGCUACAGCCCUAGACACCUUUUGCCCCAAGCCGUGCGAGUGUCUUUUCCCUGGGCUUGUCUCGCCAGUCCUCAGUGCUGCGGACCUGAUGAAUUACUGUCCGUUCUCUGCCGAAAAGCCCCGACCGCAUCUCGUCUUUGAGAUCCCACUUCCUUCACAUGGACUCGCGCCCCCCCGCCCCCAAAGCCGCCUGUGUUCCAGUUAAGCCUUGACGAAGACUUGCUCUGCCUGGCAUGCACUUCCUCUCAAAUGUUACAUCUAUGAAGCCUCACCCUCAAACCCUGAGACAUUUAUUACAAACUCAUUUCUCAUGGAACAAGAGCAUGUACUUUCAUGGUGCGAGGCUGUCUGAUGCUAACCAGAUUUCAGUGGCCCAGGCAGAUAAAGGAAAAUUGAACAAGGUCAGAAGAGAGAAGAACAGAUCUGUCCUUAAGUAGGAAAGAACCGUGUUGCCAGUGUGCAGAAGGGGAACAAAUGAAGUAUUUCUGAAAUUGGCCUCCUCUGUUGGAUUUGAAGUCAUGAGUCUGGAUCACAGUAAGUGGCACACUCUGCUUAAUGAAUCAUUAGUAGAACAGAGAAAAGAACAGACUCAAUUACAUGCUGGGCUGGUUAACCAGCCUUUCCCUGAACACUGCCCUGCUCCAACCUACACCGAAACAGGGAAGCUUUUGUAUAGCAAUGAGUCCCUUACCAGUGGUUCUGUCUGUUGAACCUAGGACCCAUAUUCUACAUUCUUGAUUGAUUUUAAUCUGACUUGGCAGCUGUCUUAAGUACUGCAGCCAUCUGCAAGCAGGAAUAAUGAGGGCUUUGUACAAACAGCAUAGCUGCUGGGCUCCCUGCCUCGUUUCCCUCUUUCUGUCUUCUUGACCACAUGCUCCAUGCUUGCUCGCUUGCAGGUGUCAAACUCUGUGUAGUGGCCCUUCAGGGCCAGACUCCUGGGGCUUGCUCAGGAGUUGAUGAGCCCAAGAAGUGAGGGGAAAGAGAGUGGCGGACAGAUAAAUGAUAAACACGUGAUCAGAUGAUGAUAAGUGCUACCCUUCUCUCCUUUGCAGCUGGGGCUCUAGCCUCAGAAUAUUAAAGUUCCUUGAACGACCUAUAUUCUCUUCCACCUCAGUGACUGAACACCUGUGGAAACCUUCCUCAGCAUUCAGAAAACCUCAGCCCUUUUCACUUCUUCACUGAGACCUCCCUGACAUUCCCUAGAUCGUGACCUAUUGUUGUCUGGCCACUGCUAUUAUUCCAGACAUUCCCUACCAGCAGGGACAUUGUUUUUCCAUUUUCUGUGUCUCAGAGACUUGACACGGUACCUGGCAUAUAAAGAUUGGUCAAUAACUCUUGGUUGACUGACUGAAUGGGUCAGGGGAAAGUUGAAGGCCAACCUGAAUUUAUUACAUAAAUAAUGCAGAGCUCCUGUGAUAUCUCAGGGGAGCUAGACAAUCCAAAAAUAAACACAUAACUCUGUCAUGUAGUGAGAAGUGCCAAGAGGUGAGGAGAAGGGAGUGACAGCAGGAGACACACAAUAAGCAGAUAAACAAAUAGGUCAGGAGGUGAGAAACAGCACCAGAAACAUGCCAGAGAGGGGCAGCGGGUGUUGCUAUUUCUUUUUUUUGUUAAUUAAAAAAAAUUUUUUUUUAUUUUAGAGAGAAAGAGUAUGAGCAGGGGAGAGAGGCAGAAGGAGAGAGAGAAUCCCAAGCAGGCUCCAUUCUCAGUGCAGAGCCUGACACGGGUCUCAGUCCCAUGACCCAGGAAUCAUGACCCGAGCCGAAAUCAAGAGUCGGGCACUUAACCAACUGAGCCAUUCAGGCAUCCCAGAGGUUGCUAUUUCUGAUAGAGUGGCCAGGGAAGGCCUGUCUGGCAAUGUGAUAUUUGAGCAUAGAUCUGAAGAAAGUGAGGGAAUGAACCCGUAGAAUCUGGGGGAUAAGCUUUCCGGGGAAAGAGAGAACAGAGAGUGAAAUCCUAAAGAUUGGUGGGAGGAAGCUGGCAUGGCUGGAGUAGUGAGUGAAGAGGAGAGUGACGAGAGGUGAGAUUUAAGAAGAAGAAGAAGAAGAAGAAGGGGGAGGAGAAGGAGGAGGACGAGGAAGAAGAGGAGGAAAAAAAAAUCAACAAAAAUGCAGCAUUGAUUGGCCAUAAGUUCUGGGGUUUGAGCCCAGGUAAAUAUGAUGAACCAUCAGCAAAAACUUACAAAUGAGACCCUGGAUUCCUACUGUUGGAAGGGAGAGAAGCUAGAGGGAUGGAAGGGUAUGGGGAAAGGGGGGAGUUCCUAAUUUUGAAAAAUGAGGCAAUACCAAAAAUUACAGUCUAGUGUACUUGAUGUAACUCCCAGGUAAUUGAUUACAAUAUUCAAAGAACGAUUUAGCACCCACACAGGAAAUUGCUGAGCUGUAGGAGCUAGGAUGGUGGGGUCACAAAGAACGUAACAUCAGUCAUUAGAUUUCCUUUUACUUGUACUUUUGCUAAUGAUGUGAGACUGGUUGGUCAAAGUAAUGUGGUGUAAAUAGUGUACAGAGAGUUCUGCAAGGUGUUUGGCAAGGUCUCAGUAUCGGUCGAGAUGGACAGAUAGGCCUUAUUAGGUGGCUUUGUUCUUUUUUAUUUCUUUUGUAAAUUGUGGUAAAUUACACAUGAUAUGAAAUUUACCAUUUUAAUCAUCUUCAAGUAUGCAAUUCAGUGGUAUUAAGUACAUUUUCAAUGUUGUGCAAGAGUUACCACUAGUUGGUUGUAGAACUUUUUCAUCACCUCAAAAGGAAACCCCAUACCCAUUAAGCAAUCACUCCCUAUUCUCCCCUCCCCCAGGCCCUGGAAAUUACUACUCUGCUUUUUAUUUUUAUUUUUUAAUUUUUAUUUAAAGAAAUGUUUAAUGUUUAUUUAUUUUUGAGAGAGAGACACACAGAGUGCGAGUGGGGGAGGGACAGAGAGGGAGACACGGAAUCUGAAACAGGCUCUGGGCUCUGAGCUGUCAACACAGAGCCCGAUGCGGGGCUCUUGUGCUGUGAGACCAUGACCUGAGCUGAAGUCGGCCACUUAACUGAGCCACUCAGGCGCUCCCACUAGUCUGCUUUUUU